CACGUAGGGUGCAAGCGUUGUCCGGAAUCAUUGGGCGUAAAGAGCUCGUAGGCGGCUUAGUAAGUCGGGUGUGAAAACCCCAGGCUCAACCUGGGGACGCCACCCGAUACUGCUAUAGCUAGAGUCCAGUAGGGGAGUGUGGAAUUCCCAGUGUAGCGGUGAAAUGCGCAGAUAUUGGGAGGAACACCAGCGGCGAAGGCGGCACUCUGGGCUGGUACUGACGCUGAGGAGCGAAAGCGUGGGUAGCAAACAGG
rnacentral:rRNA from 1 species